UCUGAAAACACAACCGUCGGUUUCCGCACCCGCCCGAUCUUAAACUUUUAUUGUACUAUCAUUCAUAUGCACGGUCGUUUUGAUCAGCAUAACUAGGAUAUUUCACUCUUUAUCCUCUCAAAUAACAUUCCUCACCAAAGAAACCCUAGAAGAUUGCAUUGGCGCCGCCGGUAAAAGAAGCUUCAUUUGUGUUGUUGCAAAGAGGAGUUAUACAACAAAGUGGAAACAAGGGCUCUGUAAUUGUGGUAAACUAGUCAGUCAGGUGUGGGUUCUUUCAAAUUAAUUUUUUCGUUGUGUGUCUAUUGUAAGCUAGGUGUUUGAUGUAAUGCUUCUGAGAGUUAAAAGUUUGGAUUCUAGGUGUUUGGUGUCUGCUGGUGUUCAUGAGACUUUGUUGUUUUUUCUAACUAUUCAGUUGAUCAAGGAUAGGUACCCUGGUGUCCUGAUGAUGAGUUUACUGAGCCUGGUGAGUAUACUGAUUUUGUUUGAGUUCUAAAGGUAUGUGUGCAAGCAUAUUUACUUAAUAAUUUGAGUAAAGUGAGUUUAAAUAUUUUAACCGAGAAAUUUGAGACAAAUUGGUCAUAUACAAUGUGAAACACGACACUAAUAUUGGACUCGACAUCGACGGUACACAAAGAGCUCACAUGGUUUUGCCUUCCACCAACAACAACAUGGUUUUGUGUUUUUUCUUAAUUGUUUUACCUUAGAUAAAACAAUUUUAUGUAUGUGUUUGAUUAAAGAGCUCACAUUUAUAUCAUUUCUUCAGUGAAUGCAUAAAGUUGGUACAUCAGUUCUCUAUAUGUUACUUGUUUCUCAGACCAUGGUGAAGUCUUAAAUCAUUUGUUUUUCAGACGCAUAACCAUUAGUUUGCUGACUAGUUGCAACAAAUGUGAAUUACCCCAAGAGGUAUUUUAUGGAGAUUGCUUCUACACAAGGUUAAUGGUUGAAGGAUUGGUUGACGAAAGUUAAUUGUUGAUGAAGAGCGACUUAUAAUUAAAGAACUCUUCUUGAUUUAUGCCAAUUUAUUAAAUUGUAAUAAAAAAUAAAACUCUGCA